CGAAAGUUAGAGGUUCGAAGGCGAUCAGAUACCGCCCUAGUUCUAACCAUAAACGAUGCCAACUAGCGAUCCGCCUGAGUUCCUCAAAUGACUCGGCGGGCAGCUUCCGGGAAACCAAAGUGUUUGGGUUCCGGGGGAAGUAUGGUUGCAAAGCUGAAACUUAAAGGAAUUGACGGAAGGGCACCACCAGGAGUGGAGCCUGCGGCUUAAUUUGACUCAACACGGGAAAACUUACCCGGCCCGGACACUGGAAGGAUUGACAGAUUAAGAGCUCUUUCUUGAUUCAGUGGGUGGUGGUGCAUGGCCGUUCUUAGUUGGUGGAGCGAUUUGUCUGGUUAAUUCCGAUAACGAACGAGACUCUAGCCUACUAAAUAGGCGUUCCGAUCCUUUAUGUCGGACGUUCUUCUUAGAGGGACAAGCGGCUUUUAGCCGCACGAGACAGAGCAAUAACAGGUCUGUGAUGCCCUUAGAUGUCCGGGGCCGCACGCGCGCUACACUGAAGGAAUCAGCGUGUGCUUUCCCUGUCUGGUAGGACUGGGUAACCCGUUAAACCUCCUUCGUGAUAGGGAUAGGGAUUUGUAAUUGUUCCCUUGAACGAGGAAUUCCCAGUAAGCACGAGUCAUAAGCUCGUGUUGAUUACGUCCCUGCCCUUUGUACACACCGCCCGUCGCUACUACCGAUUGAAUGAUUUAGUGAGGUCUUCGGACUGGCGCUCGUAGCGACCUUNGGCCGCGCCGACG
rnacentral:rRNA from 1 species